UAAAUUUAGUGGCGGACGGGUGAGUAACGCGUGGGUAACCUGCCUUGUACUGGGGGACAACAGUUGGAAACGACUGCUAAUACCGCAUAAGCGCACAGAGCUGCAUGGCUCAGUGUGAAAAACUCCGGUGGUAUAAGAUGGACCCGCGUUGGAUUAGCUGGUUGGUGGGGUAACGGCCCACCAAGGCGACGAUCCAUAGCCGGCCUGAGAGGGUGAACGGCCACAUUGGGACUGAGACACGGCCCAGACUCCUACGGGAGGCAGCAGUGGGGAAUAUUGCACAAUGGGGGAAACCCUGAUGCAGCGACGCCGCGUGAAGGGAGAAGUAUCUCGGUAUGUAAACUUCUAUCAGCAGGGAAGAUAGUGACGGUACCUGACUAAGAAGCCCCGGCUAACUACGUGCCAGCAGCCGCGGUAAUACGUAGGGGGCAAGCGUUAUCCGGAUUUACUGGGUGUAAAGGGAGCGUAGACGGUGUGGCAAGUCUGAUGUGAAAGGCAUGGGCUCAACCUGUGGACUGCAUUGGAAACUGUCAUACUUGAGUGCCGGAGGGGUAAGCGGAAUUCCUAGUGUAGCGGUGAAAUGCGUAGAUAUUAGGAGGAACACCAGUGGCGAAGGC
rnacentral:rRNA from 1 species